rnacentral:tRNA from 1 species
GGCGAGAUUCCCGAGCGGUCAAAGGGGACGGACUGUAAAUCCGUUGGCGCAGCCUUCGCAGGUUCGAAUCCUGCUCUCGCCACCA